CGGUGGACUAUGAACUACCUGAGCGGUCGGCAUUCAUCCGUACUGUUUCGAGGUCAAAACUCCAAACUUAGAAAAAUUAAACAGGGGGUUCGCACGGUCUAGUGCCGAGAUACGAAAGGCAGUUUAUCCUGCGCUGAAAUAUUAUUGGUAAAUUAUACUCAGUCUAUCGUUUUUAAAAUGGAAAUUUCUAAUUGCAGAGUAAGCAAGCCAAUAAAUACACUAAGCUGUCUACCACAAUUGCAACCGUUUCUAGACUCUAGGGGUAUCUUACGUAAAGGAGGCCGCAUCCAAAACGCAACGCUAUCGGACUAUGUUAAACAUCCUAUAAUAGUGCGAAGAAACCACCGCUCGCUAAAUUAAUCGCGGUAAAAAUAUAUCUUUUAACAUUACAUGGUAGACCUCAGAUAAUGCAAGCCGCCGCUUCAACGACGAUAUGGGGUACCAGGCAUUCGUAACCUCGCCCGUGCCGAGAUACGGUAUAUAUGGGAAAUGCAUUCGUUGCAGACGACUGAGUUGCCAACCAUUACAGCAGCUCAUGGCUGAGCUGCCUCCAAGCCGCGUCACUUCAUCCCGCUGUAUUCUACAUAGCGUAGUCGCUUACGCUGAUCCUUACUAAGUGAAGAGGCGCAAAAUCUACAAAGGCAAACAUAUCUCAUUUAUUGGCAUGAGUACUGGGGCAAUGCAUCUCGAGCUUGCUGGAGAUGUGACUUAAAUCGCUUUCAUCGCUGCUUUCAUCGCUGCUUUCCAACGCUUUACUAACAGAAGAGGGUACUGCCAGCACAUUUACUCUGACAGCGGCACUAACUUCGUUGGCGUUGCAAAGGAGCUACGAUUAGCCAACGAACACUGCGUUCGUGAUGAAAGAGUGUCAUCAUAUUUCGCAGAUGCCCAAACAAUUUGGCAUUUCAACCCUCCAAGCGCCCCUCACAUGGGUGGCUUCUGGAAGGCUGGUAUAAAACGAAUCAAAGAUCAUCUUAAACGCGCCUUAGCCACUUCGCUUCUAAUUUACGAAGAAUUUGCAACAGUACUUACUGAAGUUGAAGCCUGUGUAAAUUCGCGCCCUAUUUGCUGUAUUCUUACAACGUGUAAACGACUUCGAAGUUCUUACGCCUGGACACUUCAUGAUUGGGGAACCGCUAAAGAGAUUUCCAGAUUCUGACGUUAAAGUCUUCAAGGGAACCAUAUAUCAACGUUGGAAAAGCAUUGUGUCAAUUAGACAACACUUCUGGAAUCGAUGGAGAGACGAGUAUCUUGUCGGUCUUCAACGCCGCUCGAAAUAGAUAUGCUCAACGCCGAAUUUGCAGAAAGAUGAUAUCGUUAGCAUACAUGAAAUCAACGUGCCCCCCCCACGAGAGUUGGUCGUGUGAUUGGUACUUCUCCAGAGUCAGAUGAUUAAGUUCGGGUUGUAAACUUGCAGACAUCCGAAGGGGAGCUUUUGAGGCCAUUGAUUAAAUUAUCGUUACUGCCAACAAAAGGGGACAUAUUUUCUAUAUGAUAUUUUUAGAUUUUAAUUGAAAUUGUUAUUUAUGGAACGGUCGUUCAGAACGGCCGGUAACAUGUGUGCGUUAUUAAACAUCAACAAUAUUUUUAAUUUAUUUAUUUAAUUUGUCUUUGAGCAUAGACUAUUGAUGUAAAAUAUCCACCACAGAUUUAAUUUUCACUCAAUUCUUAUUAAUUAUCCAUAUACCAACGAAUCCAUAGCUCACUUCUUUUAUAUUAAGCCAUUGGAAUAAAAAUAUGAAAAACUUUCAGGUACAAAUAUAACCAGUUCAGUAUUCAUAUCGAAGAAUAUUGAGAGUUGUUUUCUGAGUGCUCUAUUAAUCUAUUUAUAUAAGUAAAUAAUCUAAAAAAUCUUUUUAGGCCGAAAUAUGCUUUGCUUGAUGAAUGUACCAGUGCUGUUUCUAUCGACGUGGAGAGCACAAUAUAUGAAAUUGCAAAGAACAUGGACAUAACAUUAUUAACAAUAACACACCGUCCCACAUUAUGGAAAUUUCAUACACACAUUCUUGAAUUCGAUGGUCAAGGUGAUUGGAGUUUUCGUCAAAUGGUACCCAAUGAGCAACAGUGACCUUAAAUUCGAAUAUUCCGUAGCCAUCUGGGCAAAACUAAAUAUCUUUUUAUUGACAUUUCCUUGAAAUAAAGUCGUAAGUGUGAUGUAAAUUAUUUUAAA